rnacentral:rRNA from 1 species
CAGAGCCGCUGGUGGGAUACCAACCUUGUUUUAUUGGGAUUCUAACGAGAGACGUAACGAGUCUUUGGACAGUCUCAGGCGGGCAGUUUGACUGGGGCGGUCGCCUCCGAAAGAGCAACGGAGGCGCCCAAAGGUUCCCUCAGCGCGGACGGAAACCGCGCGAAGAGUGUAAAGGCAGAAGGGAGCUUGACUGCGAGACGGACAGGUCGAGCAGGGACGAAAGUCGGGCUUAGUGAUCCGGUGGUAGAGAGUGGAAUUGCCAUCGCUCAACGGAUAAAAGCUACCCUGGGGAUAACAGGCUUAUCUCUCCCAAGAGUCCAUAUCGACGGGGAGGUUUGGCACCUCGAUGUCGGCUCAUCACAUCCUGGGGCUGAAGUAGGUCCCAAGGGUUGGGCUGUUCGCCCAUUAAAGUGGUACGCGAGCUGGGUUCAGAACGUCGUGAGACAGUUCGGUCCCUAUCCAUCGCGGGCGGAAGAAACUUGAAAGGGGCUGCUCCUAGUACGAGAGGACCGGAGUGGACGGACCAAUGGUGUACCAGUCAUG